UGUCCCCAUCGUCUAGAGGCCUAGGACAUCGCCCUUCACGGCGGUAACCGGGGUUCGAAUCCCGUGGGACGCCA
rnacentral:tRNA from 1 species